AUACGGAGGGUGCAAGCGUUAUUCGGAAUCACUGGGCGUAAAGGACGCGUAGGCGGGUUGGCAAGUCAGAUGUGAAAUCCUACAGCUUAACUGUAGAACUGCAUUUGAAACUGCUAACCUAGAGUAUGUGAGGGGGAGAUGGAAUUAGUGGUGUAGGGGUAGAAUCCGUAGAUAUCACUAGGAAUACCGAAAGCGAAGGCGAUCUCCUGGAACAUAACUGACGCUAAGGCGUGAAAGCGUGGGGAGCAAACAGAAUUAGAAACCCUAGUAGUCC
rnacentral:rRNA from 1 species